UGGGGAAUUUUGGACAAUGGGCGAAAGCCUGAUCCAGCAAUGCCGCGUGUGUGAAGAAGGCCUUCGGGUUGUAAAGCACUUUUGUCCGGAAAGAAAUCCUUGGCUCUAAUACAGUCGGGGGAUGACGGUACCGGAAGAAUAAGCACCGGCUAACUACGUGCCAGCAGCCGCGGUAAUACGUAGGGUGCAAGCGUUAAUCGGAAUUACUGGGCGUAAAGCGUGCGCAGGCGGUUUGCUAAGACCGAUGUGAAAUCCCCGGGCUCAACCUGGGAACUGCAUUGGUGACUGGCAGGCUAGAGUAUGGCAGAGGGGGGUAGAAUUCCACGUGUAGCAGUGAAAUGCGUAGAGAUGUGGAGGAAUACCGAUGGCGAAGGCAGCCCCCUGGGCCAAUACUGACGCUCAUGCACGAAAGCGUGGGGAGCAAACAGGAUUAGAUACCCUGGUAGUCCACGCCCUAAACGAUGUCAACUAGUUGUUGGGGAUUCAUUUCCUUAGUAACGUAGCUAACGCGUGAAGUUGACCGCCUGGGGAGUACGGUCGCAAGAUUAAAACUUAAAGGAAUUGACGGGGUCAUA
rnacentral:rRNA from 1 species